GUUUGAUCCUCGAGGUGGGAUCUUCUCACCUUAGCAAGACAACCAACCUCUGUGGGGCCACCACCAUGUUGUUUAUGUGACAUCUACUUCGUCCAUCAGAUGCGCCCCUUGAUGCUAGGUUCUGGGGUUGCAAAUGAGCCAGAUGGCCCAGAUCCACAACUUAGGUGGGCUACACCACUGGGAACAAUCGGGAUGGGACGCCGGCCACUGGUUUUUGUAUGGACCUGCUGUGAUAUAUAUCUUUCAGCAUGCCAGUUCAUCAAGCGUUACUUACUGGAAUGAAGGUAUGAUACAAAAAAAUUAGCCUUGUCCAAAUGUCAAGUGGGCAACACUGCAUCAACUUAGAGGUUUUAUGGACAAUUAGCAUUAUUCGGAUGGAUGUGGCCCAUCUCAGUUUUUAUUUAUUUAUUUAUUUAUUAUUAUUUAUUUAUCAGGUUCAUACUGUGGCCAUAAAGGUGCAUGCAUGAUGUAUGGAGUGGAUUCCACAUGUACACUGUAGUACAUAUGGUGGACCCCACAAAGCUGAGGUGUUUUAGGCAUUAAUAAAACAGGUGUUGUCCUUAUGACA